UACGUAGGAGGCAAGCGUUGUCCGGACGUUACUGGGCGUAAAGCGCACGCAGGCGGUCCCAUUAGUCUGUAGGGACAGGGCACGGCUCAACCGUGUCAGGCUUAUGGAAACUGUGGGACUUGAGGGCUUCAGAGGGAUGGGGAAUUCCGGGUGGAGUGGUGAAAUGCGUAGAGAUCCGGAAGAACACCAAAGGCGAAGGCACCAUCCUGGGGAGUCACUGACGCUCGGGUGCGAAAGCUAGGGGAGCGAACGGG
rnacentral:rRNA from 1 species